GCCACCGACGGGAAGGUUCUCGCGAAGAUGACCGUCUCGGCGCCCUCUGCUACAUUCUCUGGAUUCGAUUUCAUUUAGCUGAUCAUCCGAUCUUGUCUGAUUCUUUGUUUUAAACUUUUGUAAAAAAAACGCGAACCUCAGUGAAAUUACCCUUCGAAGGUGAGAACUCACGAACACACCCACUCGAUCAUCCGCAUCAUCGUGUCAUUUUCCUUCAUUUUUCUCCCAAAAAUAUCUGAGCGCUGUGGAGGUUUGAUCUAUCUGUCCUGGGAGGCUCAUCCGAUCAUUCGAUUCAUCUUCCAUGUGAAAGAACGCCACAUCCUGGCGGCGUUCGUCUCAAGGGAUUAUUACCCUGCUGGAGCGAAUUACUCUGCUGGAGCGAAGGUCUGUGGAGGCUCGUCACACCAGAAUCUCCAUCUCUUUCCGAGCCUCCGGAUGACUGCAAUCAACACACCGGAUCUACUCUGCCGCUCACAGAAUGACUCUUCAACCAAAUGCUCGGUCAAAAUUAUAUCUA
rnacentral:lncRNA from 1 species